GACAGCAUUAAGUGAGGACUCACUACAAGUUCUUACUGUUUUCCUAAAGUGAGUGAUACUGUAGUUUUGGACCUAUAAUCAACUAACUUUGUUGUCUUAGAAAACUCACUUCACUUCACAGAAAACCAUCUUCCUCAUUUUGGCAGCGCUGUCCAUCAGUUUGCUCUCUGAAACAUGUGGUUCUAAUGGUUUCUACGGACAGGUCUGAGAGCUGACAGAUGAUGGAUAAUAUAUCCCUGGACCAUUUACGGAAGAAAAACAGCAGUGAAUCCCCUUUUCUCCCACUUUCUAGUGCUCCCUACUUCAUGCCCUGCCAUUUCCAUAAGAUUUGCCUCACUGGCCCAGAAAUAAGCUCGGCCCACCAUGCCAUUACUAUUGUUAAAACAGACUCUCUUCCGAUCUCCAGAGAAAACACACCCUGAAGAAUUUCUUCUACAAAUGACUGUGGUGCUGUUCCAAGAAGUGGUGUCUUUUAGUCUGUAACCUGUCUGACCUGCGGUGACAUAAAUAAUAAUUUCUCAGUUGCAUAGCAGGUUUUCUCACUGAGUGUUUCUGAAAGCCACGUGCUAUCCAGUACCCACUCCCUGGCUGCAGGAACUGACAUUAAAAGUUGGAGCUCGGCCAGGAUUGGUCACUCAUACCUGUAAUCACAACACUUUGGGAGAUCAAGGCGGGUAGAUCACCUGAAGUCAGGAGUUCCAGACCAGCCUGGCCAACCUGGUGGUGGGCACCUGUAAUCCCAGCUACUCAGGAGGCUGAGGCAGGAGAAUCACUUGAACCUGGGAGGCGGAGGUUGCAGUGAGCCAAGAUUGUGCCCCUGCACUCCAGCCUGGGUGACAGAGCGAGACUCUGUCUCAAAAAAUAAAUAGAUAAAUUAAAAGUUGCAGCUCAUCGCUUUGUUCUUUGUUUGUCUUUGUUGUGUGUUGUUGCUGUUUGCUCUUUAAACACGCCCUUCCCUCUUGCAUAUGGGCAGGAGAUGAAUAACCUAUAACCAGGCAGUGGUUUCUGGGGUGGGGGCAGCACUGGCUGGCAGAGAGUAGACAGGCUGCAGAGCUGGGCUGCAGUCAGUUGCUCGCUGUUCCGGAGCCAGCAGGAGGAAUAAGGCCCUACUAUCUUCCUUCUGUCCCUUCCGCUGCCCUCCCCGCUCCUUGUGGGUGGCAGCAGGUGUGAGGGAAAGAACUUUGGGAACAGCCAGUCAGUGAUCCACGCAUUCCAAAACAGAGUUUCCCUUAGAAUGCAGCCUCCUUAGGCAGGCGCUGAAGUCGGAGGAUGACAGAAGCUCAGUGUCUA
rnacentral:lncRNA from 1 species